rnacentral:rRNA from 1 species
CCUACGGGAGGCAGCAGUGAGGAAUAUUGGUCAAUGGCCGGAAGGCUGAACCAGCCAUGCCGCGUGAAGGUCAGUGCCCUAUGGGCGUUAAACUUCUUUUGUGCGGGAGCAAUAAUGGUCACGUGUGGCCAGACGAGAGUACCGUACGAAUAAGCAUCGGCUAACUCCGUGCCAGCAGCCGCGGUAAUACGGGGGAUGCAAGCGUUAUCCGGAUUUAUUGGGGUUAAAGGGGGCGUAAGCUGUGAGGUAAGUCAGCGGUGAAAUGCCCCCGCUCAACGGGGUGAAGUGCCAUUGAUACUGGCUUGCUGGAAUGCGGAUGCCGUAGGAGGAAUGUGUGGUGUAGCGGUGAAAUGCAUAGAUAUCACACAGAACACCGAUUGCGAAGGCAUCUCACGAAUCCGCGAUUGACGCUGAUGCACGAAAGCGUGGGUAUCAAACAGGAUUAGAUACCCCUGUAGUC